UUUUGGGGCGGUGUUAACCGACUCUUUUCUCUGUCUCCGCCUGCUCUCGGCGGGUCUUCCAGUCUCUUCUCCAUUCAGAGCUGGAAAAAAACGAAAACACAGCCCAGGAAGCCCCCAUCAGCCAGCACCCAGGCCAGCUCACCUCGGCCCAGGGCACAGCUGCCCGUGCACUCCGUGGCCAAGGCCAACUCCACUAUCUUCCCUCCACCUCCCCACUUCACGGUCAACCGCAGCCCCACAUGCAGAGGAAGGGCCCCAGCUCCGGAGCCUGCCAAAGUCGGCUGGGUGCCUCCUCACCAAAAAUGGUGAGAAAAGAUUGCAUCUUGUCCGCUGAGGAGCCACAAACAG
rfam:Loxodonta africana cont3.15371, whole genome shotgun sequence.